rnacentral:rRNA from 1 species
UACGUAGGUGGCAAGCGUUGUCCGGAUUUACUGGGCGUAAAGAGCGCGCAGGCGGUCGGAUAAGUCGAAUGUGAAAGCCCCCGGCUCAACUGGGGAGGGUCAUUCGAUACUGUUCGACUCGAAGGCAGGAGAGGGAAGUGGAAUUCCCGGUGUAGUGGUGAAAUGCGUAGAUAUCGGGAGGAACACCAGUGGCGAAGGCGGCUUCCUGGCCUGUUCCUGACGCUGAGGCGCGAAAGCUAGGGGAGCAAACGGG